rnacentral:rRNA from 1 species
ACGGGGGCCCGCACAAGCGGUGGAGCAUGUGGUUUAAUUCGAUGCAACGCGAAGAACCUUACCUGGUCUUGACAUCCACGGAAGUUUUCAGAGAUGAGAAUGUGCCUUCGGGAACCGUGAGACAGGUGCUGCAUGGCUGUCGUCAGCUCGUGUUGUGAAAUGUUGGGUUAAGUCCCGCAACGAGCGCAACCCUUAUCCUUUGUUGCCAGCGGUUAGGCCGGGAACUCAAAGGAGACUGCCAGUGAUAAACUGGAGGAAGGUGGGGAUGACGUCAAGUCAUCAUGGCCCUUACGACCA